rnacentral:rRNA from 1 species
GACGGAGGGUGCGAGCGUUAUUCGGAAUCAUUGGGCGUAAAGAGUGUGUAGGCGGCCGGUUAAGUCAGGUGUGAAAGCCCAGGGCUCAACCCUGGAAGUGCACUUGAAACUGGUCGGCUUGAGUUCGGGAGAGGGAAGCGGAAUUCCUGGUGUAGAGGUGAAAUUCGUAGAUAUCAGGAGGAACACCGGUGGCGAAGGCGGCUUCCUGGACCGAAACUGACGCUGAGACACGAAAGCGUGGGGAGCAAACAGG